UGGCUCUCGCAUCGAUGAAGAACGCAGCGAAAUGCGAUAAGUAAUGUGAAUUGCAGAAUUCAGUGAAUCAUCGAAUCUUUGAACGCAACUUGCGCCCUCUGGUAUUCCGGAGGGCAUGCCUGUUUGAGUGUCAUGUAGACUCAACCCCUGAGGGUCUUUUGUAACCUCUUGGGAUUGGACCUGGGCGUCUGCCGCUUCUUGCUGGCUCGCCUCAAAUGUAUUAGUGGGGACCGAACCCCGUCGGGAGUAAUAAGUUUUCUCUCAGACACGGGCGAGGUUGGAACCGCUUACAACACCCAUCUCUAUGACUCUGACCUCAAAUCAGGUAGGACUACCCGCUGA
rnacentral:misc_RNA from 1 species